GCUUCAAUUUUAAGAUCGGAUCUCUUGUUUGCAUUCUCUUAAACCCUGAUAUUUUGAUGACCCCUUUUCCAGAUUUUUCUAAGGGGUAGAUCACUUUUUUCAGAACAAAUUUUCAUCAACUUUUGGGUGGUUUCUGGAUAUGGGAAAAGUUUCAGCCAUCGUAUACAUUACUGUGGCUCUUCUAGUACUCUUUCUAAUCUCACACUCCCCUAAGAAACACUCCGGCCACAACCGCCAUCGCCGCCUAAAGCUCCGCUCUUCUUUCAGCUUCAGCAAUCCCACCCGCCACGAGCCCGUGCCUUUUGACCCUCUCGUCGCUGACAUCGAGCGCCGCCGUGAAGACCGACAAUGGGAGAAGCAGUAUUUGGAGCACACGCAUCCUGAGUUUACAGAUGACCACGCCCCGGGUCACGAGUCGAAGCCCGAGUGGGAGGAUUUCAUGAAUGCUGAGGAUUACUUGAAUGACGAGGAGAAGUUCAACGUUACCAACAGGUUGGUAUUGCUAUUUCCCAAGAUUGAUGUCAACCCAGCAGAUGGCUUCGUGACUGAGAACGAAUUGACCAAUUGGAACCUGGAACAAGCAGCAAAGGAAGUCUUGCACAGGUCUACGAGGGAGAUGGAAACUCAUGACAAGAACCAUGAUGGGUUUGUUUCAUUUGCAGAGUAUGAGCCUCCCAGUUGGGUGAAGAAUGACAACAAUUCUUUUGGCUAUGAUAUGGGCUGGUGGAAAGAGGAACAUUUUAAUGCAGCAGAUGCUGAUGGUGAUGGUUUAUUGAAUGUAACUGAGUUCAACGACUUUCUGCAUCCAGCUGAUAGCAAAAACCCAAAACUACUUAACUGGCUGUGCAAAGAGGAAGUAAGGGAAAGGGAUACAGACAAGGAUGGGAAGGUUAACUUUGAGGAAUUUUUUCAUGGGCUAUUUGACUUGGUAAGAAACUAUGAUGAAGAAGAUCACAACUCUUCUCAUCCAUCUCAUGACUCAUUGGAGUCCCCGGCUAAAUGGUUGUUUAGCCAGCUUGAUAAAGAUGGUGACAGACUCUUGUCCGAUGAAGAACUUCUACCGAUAAUUGAGAAAAUUCAUCCGUCAGAACGGUACUAUGCAAAACAGCAAGCUGAUUACAUCAUAACACAGGCGGAUUCUGAUAAAGAUGGUCGUUUGAGCUUAAUCGAGAUGAUAGAGAACCCAUAUGUAUUUUAUGGUGCCAUCUUCAGUGAAGAUGAAGAUGAAGAUGACUACGAAUAUCACGACGAGUUCCGCUAAAUCUCAAAUUUCAUGAUAGGACACAGAGACAACAAUAGGAUUCAGUCAUUCACUUCCUUUUCUUGAGAGCUUAGGGUUUGUCAUGAUUGAAAACCCUCACAAAAUAUGAAGAUAUUAGUUAUUAUUUUAUAAGGUAUUGUAUGAAUCGACUUUGCCACCGA